UUACAAAAAUUUAUUAAUACAAACUUUACACACUUUAUAUAACAGUUAUCAAAGUCCUAGUUAUAGAUAUCAUGUGUGUAAUAAUACUUUGUUUAACUUCUUUUUAUAUUCAUUUGCACACAAAAUAAGUUCUCCAAGACUAACAUCUACCUACUAUGACUGUAUCUCAAAUCUGCUCAAAUUUUGGUAAGGCUGUUGGCGUUUCUGAAAAAAAAAAAAAAAAAAAAAAAAAAAAGAAAUCGUACAAAGGAUAAUAACCUAGAUGAUCACUUCAAAAUGCUUGCGACUAGCCACUGAACUCUAACUGAUAAGGUCAUAAACAAAACGUCAAGAGAGCCCUAUGUCAUUAUACCACAGCCGACACAAACACAGCGCACUCUGCCCAUGGCCAAAGAACAGAAGGACGACUAAAACGCAAGCCGAUGUGUUGCAGCAUCGUAGGGCCACUAAAUAGCCAUCCGUGAACUCGUGGCGAUUUACAAGAACAUAACCCAAAAAGGUGACUCAGGUGGGUUAAACAGAGUUCGGAAAAGUUCGAAGAGAGGAUGAGAGGCGGAAGGUCCUACAAGAAAAAGCAUUUAAAAAAAAGAGCAACUCCGACCGAAAAAUGCAAAGGCGAGAACCCUGCUCAUUAUUACACAAGAUGAGAAGCAUGGACAGCACUGGAGAGUAACACACUGUACUUUGCAUCCAGGUCCAGUACCGAGCUGCCCGGGGCAGUUGGGUAGCGGAUCGGAGGUGGGAUCGCCUCGUCUUUCCUCGACCCUGCGGCACCGGCUCCGGUACCGGCUCCGGCCCCGGGGCGCGCCGGGGGCCGCCCCCGCUCACUUCCCCACUCUUUCCAAACGGGUCCUGUCUCUGCUUUGGCUUUGUUCUGCAACUCUGCCCAGACAGCCAGAAGAGCAGUGCACGGGGCUUAGUACUUACUACCCUUGCUGCUGGUUCGGGAUUUUGGGGUUGGGGUUUUGAGUUUGGCUAUUUUUGGUUUUAUUUUGAUUUUUUUUAUUAUUAUUAUUUUAGUUUUGGUUUUUUAACUAUUUCUCCCUUCAAUAGGAAACAGAGAUGCACAAUUUGGAUCGAGCUGUUGUUUUCACAAGAUAAUUAUCCUCUAAGCUCAUUGUUUUGAGGAUACACUAAUAGAGAUUCAACUGGAAUCAAAGAAAGCAGGAGAGGAAAAAAAAUAAUCGAAAU